ensembl:lncRNA
AGUGGGUGUUUGUGUCGGCCGUGGCGCUGGGCAGCGUCUUAUUCCUGCUGCUAUUCGGGGUUUGUUGGUGUCAGUGCUGUCCUCACUCCUGCUGCUGCUACGUCAGCUGCUGGUGCUGCCCCGACACGUGCUGCUGCCCAAGACACCGUGAGUACCCACACACACACACACACACACACAGAUGUGCAAAAAGUGAACUCAGUGACAUUUGAAUGGUCUGUUGCUAGUUUACGAGGCGGGUAAAGGUAUAAAGACGGGCACCUCCACACCUGCCUACCCUCCAUACUUUGUCACCGGUGUCCCGACGAUGGUCCCAAUCGCUCCGCCUUCUCUGGUGGACAAGAUGUCCGCCGCCCCCCCCUUCGGAGGUCAGCCUGCUCACAGCAGUGCCGAUGCACGCCGUAGGGGCUCCCUACCGCGUGCCUUCCUCUCAGGAUCAGGACUCUCUCAGGGUGCUGCAGUACGUAGAGAAACAACUGGCUCACUUCAACCCGGCCAGGUCCAUCAGCCACCAGACCUGCAGCCUGUCCGAGCUGAGCUCCCUCCACGAGGGCGAAGCCGGCUUCCGCCAAACCUACCGCAACGUCCAGAAGAAAGCUCUGCCCGCCAUCCCUGACCACGACCCUCAGCCCGAGCCCCAGCGCUACCGUGACAACCGCAGCCCGGAGCCUCAGCGUUACCGCGACGACCCUCCUUCCCCCCAGCGGUAUCAGGAUGACCCCGACGCAGAGCCCCGCCGCUGCCAGGACCAGGAUCUCCCCCUGCGGCGGCACAGCGACGACCCCCCGACCAGCCCGCGGCCGCGCAGGCCCGGACGGAACCAACGGCACCAGGAUCACAGCGAGGAGGAGCCCCCCAACAGGUGGAACCCUCGUUCAGAACAUCUGCACAGGAAGGCGUACCGCACCGGCGGGCGGACCAUCUCGCUGGACGAGCUGGAGGAGUUUGCGGCUUCCUACAAGCAGAGGGGAAGCCGAGAGGACGGGAGAAGGGAGGAGGAGAGGGGAGAGUAUGAGAUGGAGCUUCGGGAGUUCCGUCGAUAUCCCUCCCACCGCAAAGGCCCCCCCACAGCACUACCACACUGACGAGAACGAGCUGGCAGACGACAGCGACCACGGCGAUCGCCCCAGGCGGAACACGAAAGGCGGACAGAACAUAAGCCCACUUCAGUCGCCCAAAAAGAGGAGGGGCACCUGGGACAGCGAGCGGCCCGCCCCCCCCCCACCCAGAGUCAGUCCACCGUCGACCUCUUCUCAAGAGAAGGACUACGACGGCGCGUUCCUCAACAGCCUGCUGGAGCGCAAGGCCAAGUUGCGGGGGGGUCAGCCAGGAUUCGGACACGCCCUCGAAGGACAGCUCGAAGAAGAGCAGCGGGGAAUCGAGCCGGCCGUGCAGCCGCUCGCCCAGCAACAGGCCCGAGCCCGGGUCACUGCCGCCCUACUCGGACACGGAGCGGGGCAGAAGUGA